AACGAGGCCGACCUGCGGCUGAGUUACCUGCGGAAGGAUCAUUACCGAGUUAGGGUAGUCACUCACUGCCCGACCUCCCAACCCUGUGUCUACCACACUUUGUCGUUGCUUCGGCGGACCGGUUGACCAACUGGUCAUGACCGCCGGGGGCUGGCUCUGUCCCCCCUGGAGAGCGCCCGCCGAUGGCCCAACCACAAAACUCUUGUACCGAAACGUGUCGUCUGAAUUAUGUUUGAGAAA
rnacentral:misc_RNA from 1 species